rnacentral:rRNA from 1 species
UAGCCGUAAACGAUACUCGCUAGGUGUCGGCCACGGUGCGACCGUUGUCGGUGCCGUAGGGAAGCCGUGAAGCGAGCCACCUGGGAAGUACGGCCGCAAGGCUGAAACUUAAAGGAAUUGGCGGGGGAGCACCACAACGGGUGGAGCUUGCGGUUUAAUUGGAUUCAACGCCGGAAAUCUUACCUGGACCGACAGCAACAUGAAGGCCAGGCUGAAGACUUUGCCGGAUUAGCUGAGAGGAGGUGCAUGGCGUAGACGUGU